CGAUAUUGCCUGUGAUACACAAACAUCUUAUAACUUUAAUUUAAAGGAAAAUGAAGACUUGCGUCAUUCAAUUUCUUUUAUAAAGUUACUACGGCAUUGGGCUGCUUUUACUAGUCAAAAACAAAGCGACAUGACGUACCUAUUAACUUUGCUAAAGUUGUACGAGCCUAACCCGACCUACGCAUUACUACCUAGCACGGGAAAGGAAUUGAUGAAGAUUGACGGCAACGACUGGCCUACUUCGAGAAAUAAGCAAUUAAAAAACAAACUGCCUCCAGCCAUUCCAAUUGAUAGUGGGAAAUAUGUCCACUUUGGUGUAGAGAAUGCCAUAAAUGGUAUCUCUGUGGGACUGAUUAAUCGAGCCACAGAUCUUGUGAAGUUCUUCGACGUCUAUCAGAAAAAUUCAAAUCUGUUAUCAAAAAGCAUGCGUGCAAGAAUUGAAGCCCUUGACACAACAUUUCAAAUUGAGCAGGCAAAACUGGUCCUACGAGGUGACUUUACUACACCCGAAGCUGAAAUAAAUGUGCCUCAUUACGAAAUGGAUAUCAAUAUUGAUGAAGCGAAGCUGAAUGAGGACAAACAAGCUGCUACUAUUACUCCUAUACUAGGGAAGCUAGUUUCUAUCAAAUCCUCAGCUUCAAGCGAUGAUGGUACCAAAAUCCUGUUAGACACCUCCGUUUUUGUGAUUGGGUUUUAUGUGGGCGUUGGAAAACCAGCCGACAUCAACAGUUUUCUUAGCAAUCUCAUUAGUGAAUUAAUUCUCUUGUCACCGACUCUAAACUGCAUUCAUAGUCGAGAUUUUACUGUGUCACUUCGCUUUGUGAUUGCAAACGGUCCUAUGCGGUCUUAUUUAAAAAGAACUAAGGGUCAUUCUGGUUACUGGGCAUGUGAUCGCUGCAUUCAAAGAGGGGAAAUGAUAAACCACACCAUUUUGUUUCGAAAUGUUAACGCGAAAAGUAGAACUGAUGAUGACUUUUGGACAUAUUACGUAAAUCAAUUUUCUGAAGACGAUCACUUAAAAGAUCCUACUGAUGUUAGUCCCUUUAAAGAAAUUAAUUGUCGUAUGGUAACUUGCUUUAUUAUUGAUCCGAUGCACACUGUAAUUGAGGGAGCUUUUGGGCGUCGACUCGAGGGUUUUGUGUUUGUGUCGGGGGAGGGUAAACUUAGCACAACUAAAAUUGCUGAAGCCGAUAAAAGAAUUAAGUUCUUUCACGCGUGUCGCCCAGAAGAAUUUGACAGAUAUAUUGGAAAGCUUUCAACUUGAAAAAGUUAUAAAGUCCACGUGAAGCGCAACAUACUCUAUUAUCUGUUGUAUCCACUGUUUAAGGGGAUUCUUGAAGAUCACGAUCUUCAGCAUAUAAUGCUUUUACAAUAUGGAAUGUUACUUUUGAGUCCUUUCGAUAAAAAUCCAGUAUAUCAGUCAAAUUUGUUGGAAGCUAAAAAAGUUUUUGAACAAUACUCGGUUGGGCUUACGGAACUUGGCAUAACUUGUCGGUUUGUAAGCCAUCAAGUGACUCACGUGUGGGAGGACGUUAAAAAAUAUUAAUGCGGAAUGGAGACCAUCAGCGCUUUCCCGUUUGAAAGUUUUCAACGAUUUUUUCGCAACUGUUUGCGUAGUGGUAAUCGCCAGGCCGAACAAAUUCGAAAUAGGUGUAUUGAAAAAAACAAAUACCAACUCCCUACUACGGAAUGUGGAACAAUACUAACUAAUCAAAUGCAACUCGCCAUUGCAAAUAAAAAAUUUAAUGUAAAUUCCAGAUUUCCCCUUGCUUUUUUACGAAAAGGAGAGCGAUGGCCUAAAAGACUUGUAUUUGCUGAUUUCGUCCUGACUAAUCUUUUCCCUAAUAAUGUGAUUCUUGCAAACGAUGAAAUGGUCUACGUCUGCAUUGAUAUUGUUGUUAAUCAAGGCGAUGUAUGUAUCAAAGCCAAAAAAUUUGUUACCCUUCGGAAUGCAUUCAUAACACCGUAUGUCUCUUCUAAAUUUCAUACAUUUCUGGGGGGGAAGUUAAGUGACGAGACUUUUGAAUUGCGUCCAUCUCAAAUCUUUGCCAAAAUGAUGGCCCUUCCUAUGAAUCCCUUUCCCCCAAUAUCGUUUGAUAAUGAAGAACUUGAGUGGUACUUAGUCCCCCUUUUGCAUUCAUUAAAAAAGUAAUGUGAAUUUCAUUUUUGUGAAUGUAUAAUGUCAAGAAAUAGAAUUUUGCUUUCCA
rnacentral:sRNA from 1 species